GCAUAUCAAUAAGCGGAGGAAAAGAAACCAACAGGGAUUGCCUUAGUAGCGGCGAGUGAAGCGGCAAGAGCUCAAAUUUGAAAUCUGACUCCAUUUUGGUGUCCGAAUUGUAAUUUGAAGAGGUAUCUUUGGAAGUAGCUCUCGCAUAUGUUCCUUGGAACAGGACGUCAUAGAGGGUGAGAAUCCCGUACGUGGUGAGUUGUCUGCAACCUUGUAAAGUGCCUUCGAAGAGUCGAGUUGUUUGGGAAUGCAGCUCUAAGUGGGUGGUAAAUUCCAUCUAAAGCUAAAUAUUGGCGAGAGACCGAUAGCGAACAAGUACAGUGAUGGAAAGAUGAAAAGAACUUUGAAAAGAGAGUGAAAAAGUACGUGAAAUUGCUGAGAGGGAAGCGUUUGAAAUCAGACUUGGUAUUCGGAUAAUCUUUUAGGUUUUACUAAGGGACCCUUUCUGUUUACUGGGCCAGCAUCAGUGUGGGCGGCAGGAUAAUUGCUUGGUAAUGUAGCUUCUUUUGAAGUGUUAUAGACCAAGUGGAUACUGCCAGCCUGUACUGAGGACCGCGCAUUUUGCUAGGAUGCUGGCGUAAUGAUUUUAAACGGCCCGUCUUGAAACACGGACCAAGGAGUCUAACGUCUAUGCAAGUGUUUGGGUGUUAAACCCGUACGCGUAAUGAAAGUGAACGUAGGUGAGAACUCUCUUUUGAGUGCAUCAUCAACCGAUCCUGAUGUUUUCAGAUGGAUUUGAGUAAGAGCAUAGCUGUUGGGACCCGAAAGAUGGUGAACUAUGCCUGAAUAGGGUGAAGCCAGAGGAAACUCUGGUGGAGGCUCGUAGCGGUUCUGACGUGCAAAUCGAUCGUCAAAUUUGGGUAUAGGGGCGAAAGACUAAUCGAACCAUCUAGUAGCUGGUUCCUGCGA
rnacentral:rRNA from 1 species